rnacentral:rRNA from 1 species
GGUUAAGUUAGAAAGGGCGCACGGUGGAUGCCUUGACACUAGGAGUCGAUGAAGGACGGGACUAACGCCGAUAUGCUUCGGGGAGCUGUAAGUAAGCUUUGAUCCGAAGAUUUCCGAAUGGGGAAACCCACUAUACGUAAUGGUAUGGUAUCCUUACCUGAAUACAUAGGGUAUGGAAGACAGACCCAGGGAACUGAAACAUCUAAGUACCUGGAGGAAGAGAAAGCAAAUGCGAUUUCCUGAGUAGCGGCGAGCGAAACGGAACAUAGCCCAAACCAAGAGGCUUGCCUCUUGGGGUUGUAGGACAUUCUAUACGGAGUUACAAAGGAACGAGGUAGACGAAGCGACCUGGAAAGGUCCGUCGUAGAGGGUAACAACCCCGUAGUCGAAACUUCGUUCUCUCUUGAAUGUAUCCUGAGUACGGCGGAACACGUGAAAUUCCGUCGGAAUCUGGGAGGACCAUCUCCCAAGGCUAAAUACUCCCUAGUGAUCGAUAGUGAACCAGUACCGUGAGGGAAAGGUGAAAAGCACCCCGGAAGGGGAGUGAAAGAGAUCCUGAAACCGUGUGCCUACAAAUAGUCAGAGCCCGUUAAUGGGUGAUGGCGUGCCUUUUGUAGAAUGAACCGGCGAGUUACGAUCCCGUGCAAGGUUAAGCUGAAGAGGCGGAGCCGCAGCGAAAGCGAGUCUGAAUAGGGCGUUUAGUACGUGGUCGUAGACCCGAAACCAGGUGAUCUACCCAUGUCCAGGGUGAAGUUCAGGUAACACUGAAUGGAGGCCCGAACCCACGCACGUUGAAAAGUGCGGGGAUGAGGUGUGGGUAGCGGAGAAAUUCCAAUCGAACCUGGAGAUAGCUGGUUCUCCCCGAAAUAGCUUUAGGGCUAGCCUUAAGUGUAAGAGUCUUGGAGGUAGAGCACUGAUUGAACUAGGGGUCCUCAUCGGAUUACCGAAUUCAGUCAAACUCCGAAUGCCAAUGACUUAUCCUUAGGAGUCAGACUGCGAGUGAUAAGAUCCGUAGUCAAGAGGGAAACAGCCCAGAUCGCCAGCUAAGGUCCCAAAGUGUGUAUUAAGUGGAAAAGGAUGUGGAGUUGCUUAGACAACUAGGAUGUUGGCUUAGAAGCAGCCACCAUUUAAAGAGUGCGUAAUAGCUCACUAGUCGAGUGACUCUGCGCCGAAAAUGUACCGGGGCUAAAUACACCACCGAAGCUGCGAAUUGAUACCAAUGGUAUCAGUGGUAGGGGAGCGUUCUAAGUGCAGUGAAGUCAGACCGGAAGGACUGGUGGAGCGCUUAGAAGUGAGAAUGCCGGUAUGAGUAGCGAAAGACGGGUGAGAAUCCCGUCCACCGAAUGCCUAAGGUUUCCUGAGGAAGGCUCGUCCGCUCAGGGUUAGUCAGGACCUAAGCCGAGGCCGACAGGCGUAGGCGAUGGACAACAGGUUGAUAUUCCUGUACCACCUCUUUAUCGUUUGAGCAAUGGAGGGACGCAGAAGGAUAGAAGAAGCGUGCGAUUGGUUGUGCACGUCCAAGCAGUUAGGCUGAUAAGUAGGCAAAUCCGCUUAUCGU